UGGGGAAUUUUGGACAAUGGGGGAAACCCUGAUCCAGCCAUCCCGCGUGUGCGAUGAAGGCCUUCGGGUUGUAAGCACUUUUGGCAGGAAAGAAACGUCGCGGGUUAAUACCCCGCGAAACUGACGGUACCUGCAGAAUAAGCACCGGCUAACUACGUGCCAGCAGCCGCGGUAAUACGUAGGGUGCAAGCGUUAAUCGGAAUUACUGGGCGUAAAGCGUGCGCAGGCGGUUCGGAAAGAAAGAUGUGAAAUCCCAGAGCUUAACUUUGGGAACUGCAUUUUUAACUACCGGGCUAGAGUGUGUCAGAGGGAGGUGGAAUUCCGCGUGUAGCAGUGAAAUGCGUAGAUAUGCGGAGGAACACCGAUGGCGAAGGCAGCCUCCUGGGAUAACACUGACGCUCAUGCACGAAAGCGUGGGGAGCAAACAGGAUUAGAUACCCUGGUAGUCCACGCCCUAAACGAUGUCAACUAGCUGUUGGGGCCUUUCGGGCCUUGGUAGCGCAGCUAACGCGUGAAGUUGACCGCCUGGGGAGUACGGUCGCAAGAUUAAAACUUAAAGGAAUUG
rnacentral:rRNA from 1 species